GCUUGCUGGAUGCUGACGAGCGGCGGACGGGUGAGUAAUGCAUAGGAAUCUGCCCGAUAGUGGGGGAUAACCUGGGGAAACCCAGGCUAAUACCGCAUACGUCCUACGGGAGAAAGGGGGCUCCGGCUCCCGCUAUGGGAUGAGCCUAUGUCGGAUUAGCUGGUUGGUGAGGUAACGGCUCACCAAGGCCACGAUCCGUAGCUGGUCUGAGAGGAUGAUCAGCCACAUCGGGACUGAGACACGGCCCGAACUCCUACGGGAGGCAGCAGUGGGGAAUAUUGGACAAUGGGGGAAACCCUGAUCCAGCCAUGCCGCGUGUGUGAAGAAGGCCCUCGGGUUGUAAAGCACUUUCAGCGAGGAAGAACGCCUAGCGGUUAAUACCCGCUAGGAAAGACAUCACUCGCAGAAGAAGCGCCGGCUAACUCCGUGCCAGCAGCCGCGGGUAAUACGGAGGGUGCAAGCGUUAAUCGGAAUUACUGGGCGUAAAGCGCGCGUAGGUGGCUUGAUAAGCCGGUUGUGAAAGCCCCGGGCUCAACCUGGGAACGGCAUCCGGAACUGUCAAGCUAGAGUGCAGGAGAGGAAGGUAGAAUUCCCGGUGUAGCGGUGAAAUGCGUAGAGAUCGGGAGGAAUACCAGUGGCGAAGGCGGCCUUCUGGACUGACACUGACACUGAGGUGCGAAAGCGUGGGUAGCAGACAGGAUUAGAUACCCUGGUAGUCCACGCCGUACACGAUGUCGACCAGCCGUUGGGUGCCUAGCGCACUUUGGUGGCGAAGUU
rnacentral:rRNA from 1 species